UACGAAGGGGGCUAGCGUUGCUCGGAAUCACUGGGCGUAAAGCGCACGUAGGCGGACUCUUAAGUCGGUGGUGAAAUCCUGGAGCUCAACUCCAGAACUGCCUUCGAUACUGAGAGUCUUGAGUCCGGGAGAGGUGAGUGGAACUGCGAGUGUAGAGGUGAAAUUCGUAGAUAUUCGGAGGAACACCAGUGGCGAAGGCGGCUCACUGGUCCAUUACUGACGCUGAGGUGCGAAAAGCGUGGGGAGCAAACAGGG
rnacentral:rRNA from 1 species